UACGAAGGGGGCUAGCGUUGCUCGGAAUCACUGGGCGUAAAGCGCACGUAGGCGGACUCUUAAGUCGGUGGUGAAAUCCUGGAGCUCAACUCCAGAACUGCCUUCGAUACUGGGAGUCUCGAGUCCGAGAGAGGUGAGUGGAACUGCGAGUGUAGAGGUGAAAUUCGUAGAUAUUCGCAAGAACACCAGUGGCGAAGGCGGCUCACUGGCUCGGUACUGACGCUGAGGUGCGAAAAGCGUGGGGAGCAAACAGG
rnacentral:rRNA from 1 species